rnacentral:rRNA from 1 species
AGUUGAAGGGGCGGAGCUGGUAGGAGCGACACCGCGUGCAGUGGAUGAAGGCCCUAGGGUUGUAAACUCGCUGUCACGCUAUAAAGAACCCACGGUCGUUAAUAGCUUCCGUGCUGACCAAAGCGAGAGGAAGCGCCGGCUAACUCCGUGCCAGCAGCCGCGGUAAUACGGAGGGCGCAAGCGUAGUUCGGAUUUACUGGGCAUAAAGAGCACGUAGGCGGCUCGCUCAGUCGGGUGUGAAAGCCCACGGCCCAACCGUGGAACUGCACCCGAUACUGGCGAGCUCGAGGACGGAAGGGGUGAGUGGAACUCCAGGUGGAACGGUGAAAUGUAUAGAUAUCUGGAGGAACACCGGUGGCGAAAGCGGCUCACUGGUCCGUCUCUGACGCUGAGGUGCGAAAGCUAGGGUAGCGAACGGGAUUAGAUACCCCGGUAGUCCUAGCCGUAAACGAUGGGCACUAGGCAAUGGGCCCUCCUAUGAGGUUCAUUGCCGGAGCUAAUGUGUUAAGUGCCCCGCCUGGGGAGUACGCUCGCAAGGGUAAAACUCAAAGGAAUUGACGGA